rnacentral:rRNA from 1 species
CAUGUCUUUUUGAUUAUAAUUUAAAGUCUGACCUGCCCAAUGAAUUUAGUUUGAAUGGCCGCGGUACUUUGACCGUGCAAAGGUAGCAUAAUAAUUAGUUUUUUAAUUGAGAACUGGUAUGAAAGGUUGGACGAGAAAAAAACUGUCUCAAUUUGAUUUAAAUUAGAAUUUUAUUUUUAAGUUAAAAAGCUUAAAUAUUUUUAAAAGACGAGAAGACCCUAUAGAGUUUUAUAUUACAAUUAAUAUUGAAUUUGAAGUAUAAUAAAGUUAGAUGAUGAAUUGUAGUAUUUUGUUGGGGUGACAGAAAAAUUGAAAGAACUUUUUUUUUAUUAAACCAUUAAUUUAUGAUUAGAUGAUCCAUAUUUUAUGAUUAUAAGAUUAAAUUACCUUAGGGAUAACAGCGUAAUUCUUUUUGAGAGUCCUUAUCGAAAAAAGAGUUUGCGACC